UCCUUUGAGAACAAAAGGGUAUAUAUGCUAAGCACAGUAAAUUAGCUAAACUAGUGUUUCCCAAUUAACCUGUGAGACAGAAGUCAUCAGGGGAACCGAGACCCUGCCUCGAGGGACGUUUGUUGGACUUUAGAACCAGAGGUCAUCAGGGUAACCAAUACCCUGCUUCGGGGGGGCCCUUGACAGACCAAGUACCUGAAAGGGGAUAGAAGAGAAGAGAAAAAGUCUCCAUCUAGAAUUGAGAUUCAGUAUUACUUCCAUCAGUGAAUACCAUAUAUUACAUGACUGCACCUUUUAAAAGCAGAGCAUCUAAGAAUUGCAAUGGAUUUUGUAUGCUGCUUAAAAUGGUGCACUGGAACAACGCAAUUUGGUGGGAUGAGUACUCUGCUGGAAGGAUGAUCUUGUGAUUAAGGCACUGGAAUGGAACUCAGAAGUCCCAGGUUCAAUUCCUGGAUCUGCUACAGACUCUCUGAGCACUCAGAUACCCUAAUAAUGGGGACCAUAUAAGAAGAUAGAUGGAAGGACAGACAUCGCUCGGUGAAUGGCAAUGACUAAACUUGGGACAAUUUUAGCAAAACUUCUACAUAGUGGAAACAAGCUGAACCAGCAUGAAGCGGUCAUGCUACAAAACAUAAAGGCCAUUAAUACUACUUGAAUCAGACAUACAACACUGGAGCAUUCACACGAAGCUUUCACAGAAAGCUGUGGUAUUCUGUGCCCUGUGGUUUUCUGUUCAGUUGUUAAUUACUCUUUGGGAUGUCAGGAUCCCAUCUGUUUUCCUGGAAUUAUGAUUUAAAAAUAUGAAAUAAUCUGUGUGAGCUGUGAAACUAAAAUGUGUGAAGUGGGAAAGAAC